GACGAACGCUGGCGGCGUGCCUAAUACAUGCAAGUAGAACGCUGAAGAGAGGAGCUUGCUCUUCUUGGAUGAGUUGCGAACGGGUGAGUAACGCGUAGGUAACCUGCCUUGUAGCGGGGGAUAACUAUUGGAAACGAUAGCUAAUACCGCAUAACAAUGGAUGACACAUGUCAUUUAUUUGAAAGGGGCAAUUGCUCCACUACAAGAUGGACCUGCGUUGUAUUAGCUAGUAGGUGAGGUAAUGGCUCACCUAGGCGACGAUACAUAGCCGACCUGAGAGGGUGAUCGGCCACACUGGGACUGAGACACGGCCCAGACUCCUACGGGAGGCAGCAGCAGGGAAUCUUCGGCAAUGGGGGCAACCCUGACCGAGCAACGCCGCGUGAGUGAAGAAGGGUUUCGGAUCGUAAAGCUCUGUUGUAAGUCAAGAACGGGUGUGAGAGUGGAAAGUUCACACUGUGACGGUAGCUUACCAGAAAGGGACGGCUAACUACGUG
rnacentral:rRNA from 1 species